rnacentral:rRNA from 1 species
GACGAACGCUGGCGGCGUGCUUAACACAUGCAAGUCGAACGGUAAGGCCCUUCGGGGUACACGAGUGGCGAACGGGUGAGUAACACGUGGGUGAUCUGCCCUGCACUUCGGGAUAAGCCUGGGAAACUGGGUCUAAUACCGGAUAGGACCACUGCCUGCAUGGGUGGUGGUGGAAAGCUUUUGCGGUGUGGGAUGGGCCCGCGGCCUAGCAGCUUGUUGGUGGGGUGAUGGCCUACCAAGGCGACGACGGGUAGCCGGCCUGAGAGGGUGACCGGCCACACUGGGACUGAGAUACGGCCCAGACUCCUACGGGAGGCAGCAGUGGGGAAUAUUGCGCAAUGGGCGCAAGCCUGAUGCAGCGACGCCGCGUGAGGGAUGACGGCCUUCGGGUUGUAAACCUCUUUCAGCACCGACGAAGCGCAAGUGACGGUAGGUGCAGAAGAAGGACCGGCCAGCUACGUGCCAGCCGCCGCGGUAA